rnacentral:rRNA from 1 species
UACGUAGGGGGCAAGCGUUGUCCGGAAUCAUUGGGCGUAAAGAGCGUGUAGGCGGCUCGAUAAGUCUGCUGUGAAAGUCCAGGGCUCAACCCUGGAAGGCCGGUGGAAACUGUCGGGCUAGAGUCCGGAAGAGGCGAGUGGAAUUCCCGGUGUAGCGGUGAAAUGCGCAGAUAUCGGGAGGAACACCAAUGGCGAAGGCAGCUCGCUGGGACGGUACUGACGCUGAGGAGCGAAAGCAUGGGGAGCGAACAGG